rnacentral:lncRNA from 1 species
AGCACUCAGGCCAGAUCACACAAUUUAUGCAUACACUUCAAAGCAACAUAUAGGCCUCAUCAAAAACCUUAAACUUCAUUUAAGAAACAUGACAACCAUAUAUAUACAGGUUGUGCCACAAAAGGAGCACAUAUAUGUUUCUAGGUGUGCCACACAAUAAAAAAUGAAGUGGUGCCACAAAGGGAGGAGUACAUAUGUUUCUAGGUGCGUCACCCAACCAAAAAGAGCAUACAGUGGCUUAUGUGCCAAAACAACCACCAAAAUGAGCAGCACGUGCCAAUGUCACCAGGUUCAACAAACAAGGUACAUUACAUAACCACUCCACCAACUUAAUUGUAGGUCUUGCAAACAUUCAACAGCUUGUAGGUGAUCCAAGCCUUAACUUGUAGAUCAUCCAAACCUUCAGAAGCUUGUAGAUCACCCAACUUAAUUGUAGGUCUUGCAAACAUUCAACGGCUUGUAGGUGAUCCAAGCCUUAACUUGUAGAUCAUCCAAACCUUCAGAAGCUUGUAGAUCACCCAGUGUAUCUUUGGGAAACCUGCACAGACCAGAAAUUCAAAACAGAGCUCUCAUAGCACAAUAAAGCUGUUGUAACAUAAACAUGCUACUAGUACUUGAAGGACAAGAUAGCCCAAUAAAAAUGUAAUCUUUACAUCAUAUAAGGGCAAGUGUUCUAAGGCCUUGUUUAUUUCCCUUGCUAUUGGGCAUUGGCGGAAGCAACGAACGCAAUGAACCUAUUCAGUACGUGGAGUCUAAAUCAAGGCUGAUGUUGUACAAAGCUCAUUCAUUGGAGAUGAAAAGGAUUUGAAUCAGACUGAUGUACAGUUGUACACAACGCGUUUCAUUCUAGUAAUAGUAACAAAUCAGAUAUUUCUGUCGUUCCAAACUUGUUUAUAGUAACCUGAAGGUUGAGGUUAUGACCUACCCAUUAAGAAAAGCACCCAACUUGUUGGGCAUAAAAAUAAGCCACCAACAAUAAAAGCGCUCGUUCAAAUAAUGUGCUUGUAAUUAACAGGAUAAAAUGUUUGCCAUGGUCACCUUUGGCAAAAUUGCUAUUGGAUUAAAAUGGAUGUAAGCUAUUUCAUUUCUCCUCCGUAUUCUCAUUUCACCUGAUUUUGUUGUUUACUAAAAUGACCUAAAAUGGAUGCAGACUAAAAUGGACUAAAAUGGAUGCAGAUUAAAAUGUAAGUAGCUAGCUAGCUGGGAUGCUUGCUACAAGUACGUAUUAAUCAUCUCUUUUUUUAAGUGAUGCAUGCAGCCUCAUCUUAACAACCAUGUACUCCCUCCGUUCCUAAAUAUUUGUCUUUUUAGAGAUUUCAAAUGGACUAUAACAUACGGAU